rnacentral:rRNA from 1 species
GACGAACGCUGGCGGCGUGCUUAACACAUGCAAGUCGAACGGUAAGGGCGUGCUUUGGUUGGGUGCUCGAGUGGCGAACGGGUGAGUAACACGUGGGUAACCUGCCUUGUAGUGGGGGAUAACUUCAGGAAACGAUGGCUAAUACCGGAUAGGAGCAGAUGUUGCAUGGUGGGGGUUGAAAAGGUGCGGCGGUUGGGGUAGGACUUGCGGCUGAUCAGCAUGAUGGUGGGGGAGUGGCUUCGAAAUGCCUUGGCGGGUAGCCGGCCUGGGAGGGUGACCGGCCCCAGUGGCACUGAGGAACGGCCCAGACUGCAUCUGCAGCAAUGAGUGGAAAAUUUUCCACAAUGGGCGGCAGCCUUAUACAGCGACGCCGCGUGCGGGAUGUCUGCCUUCGGGUUGUAACCCGCUUUAGCCUGUGACGAAGCGUCAGUGACGGUAAUGGAUAAAGAAGCACCGGCUAACUACGUG